rnacentral:lncRNA from 1 species
AGGCCGCGGCCAAGGCCCAGAGAGCUGGCUGGAGAAAUCUGGGUCAACAACUGUCCCAGACUCUCCAACAGAGGAGUGUAGCUGGGCCUGGAUUUCAGUUUCCCCGAGCAUCUGGUGCCACAGGCGUUCCUCCUCGUGAAGGACUGAAAGCGACUCUCACAGUAAAGCGGUUUCCUCGGAAUGAACCAAUGGAGAAAGAGGUCUCCGUUCCCCUCAAGGAGAGCAGUACAGCAGAGAACAUAGGCUACAUGUCCCGGUCGACCUCAGGUAGGCUGGGCAGGACUUUGGGGUGGGACCGAAUCCAAAUCUGUUUACCUGAUGCGCAGCAAAGCCAAUCACUGGGACAUAAGAUAUGCAGGAGGGAAAUGGGAACUAUACUCUUGAACUUUUAUCUUUUUAAAAUGUUUUUUAAAUAUUUAUUUAUUGUUGAGAGAGACAGAGAGAGAGGGAGACACAGAAUCCAAGCAGGCUCCAGGUUCUGAGCUGUCAGUGCAGAGCCCAACAUGGGUCUCGAGUUCAAAAACCAUGAGAUCAUGACCUGAGCUCAAGUGGGAUGCUUAACUGACUGAGCCACCAGGUGCCUCCUCUUGAACUUUUCUCUAUAACUCUGCCCACUUCCUUGUCUUCCUCAGAACGCUAUCCACGUUUCUACCUGAAUCUGUGUCUCCUGAAUUGCAAUUCUAAUUGCCAAAUAAGACUCUGUUGUUUUUCAUUGUCAGUGACUUCUUUCUUGGUCAACAAGUUAUAUUCCAAAUUUUUCCUCUUCUAGCCUAAAAAAUAUAUGCUCUGAUCCUAUUUAUCAUAUUUAAGCUAAAAAUCACAAAUAUCUAUUUGAUACAUUAAUACAUUUGAGUUGUGAAAAUUAGUUAAUGGGAAACCUCACUAAAAGGAGUCAAGAGGUUUCCACAGGGGGAGCUCUCGCUCUCUCUCUCACUUGUAGUCAAUUGCAGACCUGAAAGGAAGAGAUGGACUUGACCUUACCUGGACUAGACCUUGCAUGUUGAUACUCUACUACUCCAACUAAAGGUAGAGAUACUUUUCUCAUCCCCUCAGGCAACAGCUCAGCCAAUAAAGGUACCACACUAUUAACCCCA